rnacentral:lncRNA from 1 species
UUGCUAUUUCUUGGGCCGCUCCCGCGGCAUAUGGAGGUUCCCAGGCUAGGGGUUGAAUCGGAGCUGUAGCCACCGGCCUACGCCAGAGCCACAGCAACUCGGGAUCCGAGCCGCGUCUGCAACCUACACCACAGCUCACGGCAACGCCGGAUCGUUAACCCACUGAGCAAGGGCAGGGACCGAACCCGCAACCUCAUGGUUCCUAGUCGGAUUUGUUAACCACUGCGCCACGACGGGAACUCCCCAUGGAAGUUUUUAAAUCACAGUUUCAAUUUCAGUUUUUGUGAUUGGUCCGUUCAUCUUUUCUAUUUCAUCUUGGUUUAGUCUUGGAAGAUUGUACCUUUCUAAGAAUUUGUCCAUUUCUUCUAGGUUUUCCAUUUUAUUGGCGUAUAGUUGCAUAUAGUAGUCUCUUAUGAUCCUUUGUAUUUUUGUGAUGUCCAUUUUUACUUUUCCUUUUUCACUUCUAAUUUUAUUGAUUUGAAUAUUCUCUCUUUUUUUCUUGUUAAAGUCUGGCUAAGGGUUUAUCAAUUUUGUUGAUCUUUUCAAAGAACCAGCUUUUCAUUUCGUUGAUUUUUUUCUAUGGUCUUCUUCAUUUCUAUUUCAUUGAUUUAUGCUAUGAUCUUUAUGAUUCCUUUCCUUCUACCAACUUUAGGUCUUGUCUGUUCUUCUCUCUCUAGCUGCUUUAGAUGUUAAGUUAACUUGUUUAUUUGAGCUUUUUCUGUUUCCUGAGGUGGGCUUGUAUUGCUGGAAACUUUCCUCUUAGAAUGGCUUUUGCCACAUCCCAUAGGUUUUGGAGUGUCAUAUCUUUGUUGUCAUUUGCUUCUAGAUAUUUUUAAAUUUCCUCUUUGAUUUCUUCAAUGAUCCAUUGGUCGUUUAGUAACAUGUUGUUUAGUCUCCACGUGUUGGUGGUUUUUUUUUUUUUUUCUGCAGUUUUUUUCUUGUUGUUGAUUUCCAGUCAUGUAGUAUUGUGGUCAGAAAAGCUGCUUGAUAUGAUUUCAAUUUUCUAAAAGUUACUGAGUUUGAUUUGUAGCCCAGGAUGUGAUCAAUCUUAGAGAAUGUUCUUUGUGCACUUGAGAAGAAUAUGUAUUCUGCUGUUUUUGGAUGGAAUGUCCUAUAAAUAUCUAUUAAGUCCAUCUGAUCUAUUGCUUCAUUCAGGGCCUGUGUUUCCUUAUUAAUUUUUUGUCUGGAUGAUCUGUCCAUUACCGUAAGUGGGGUGUUAAAAUCCCCCACUAUUAUUGUGUUAUUGCUGAUUUCUCCUUUUAAGGUUGUUAGGAGUUGCCUUAUAUAUUGUGGUGAACCUGUGUUGGGUGCAUAGAUAUUUAAAACUGUUACAUCUUUUUUUUUGGAUUGAUCCUUUGAUCAUUAGGUAGUGACCUUCCUUGUCCCUGAAAAUAUUCUUCAUUUUAAGUCUAUUUUGUCUGUUAUGAGUAAUGCUACUCCAGCUUUCUUUUGAUUCCCGUUUGCAUGAAAUAUUUUCUUCCAUCCUCUCACUUUCAAUUUGUAUGUGUCCCUAGAAGAGAAGUGGGUCUCUUGAAGACAGUAUAUAUAUGGAUCUUGUUUUUGUAUCCAUUUAGCCAGUCUAUGUCUUUUGGUUGGGGCGUUUAGUCCAUUAACAUUUAAGGUAAUUAUUGAUAUGUAUGUUCUUAUUGACAUUGUAUUAAUUGCUUUGGAUUUGUUUUUGUUGUUGUUUUUUCUUCCCUUAUUCUCUUGUUCUCUCCUCUUCUGGUUUGAUGACUAUCUUUAGUAUUGUAUUUGCAUUCAUUUUUCUUAUUUGUGUAUGUAUCAGUCGUACAUUUUUGGCUUGCAGUUAUUUUGAAGUUUUGCUAUGAGUCUAUAUAUAUAUAUGAGAUUGUUUUAAGUUGUUGGUCCUUUAAUUUCAAGUGCAUCUCCAGUGUCCUGCAUUUGUACCCACCUCUUCUCAUGAUUUCUGAUUUGGGUGGCAUAAUUGUGCAUGGAUGAUUUUGUAUCUUUACUGUAUAUAUACCUUUACUGGUGAACCUUGUCAUUUGUGGCAUUUUUGUUUCCUGUUGUGGCCUUUUCUUUUCUGCCUAAAGAAGUUCCUUUAGUAUUUGUUGGAAAGCUGGUUUAAUGUUGCUGAAUUCUCUUAGCUUUUUCUUAUCUGUGAAGGUUUUGAUUUCUCCUUCAAAUCUGAAUGAGAUCCUUGCUGGGUAAAGUAAUCUCGGUUGGAGGUUUUUUCCUUUCAUCACAUUAAGUAUAUCAUGCCACUCCCUUCUGGCUUGCAGAGUUUCUGCUGAAAAAUCAGCUGAUAACCUUAUCAGGUUCCCUUAUAUGUUAUUUGUUUCUUUUCCCUAGCUGCUUUCAAUAUUUUCUCUUUGUCUUUAAUUUUGGUCAGUUUGAUUAAUAUGUGUCUUGGGGUGUUCCUCCUUGGGUUUAUUUUAUGUGGUACUCGUUGUGCUUUCUGGAUUUGAGUGAGUGGUUCCUUUCCCAUGUUAGGGAAGUUUUCAGCUAUUAUCUCUUGGAAUACUUUUUCUGUCCCCUUCUCUCUCUCCUCGUUCUGGCACCUCUAUAAUACGGAUGCUGGUGCAUUUAACAUUGUCCCAGAGUUCUCUGAGACUCUCUUCAUUUGUUUUCAAUAUUUUUUCUCUAUUAUAUUCCACAUCCAUAAUUUCCACUAAUCUGUCCUCCACCUCGCUUAUUCGUUCUGCCAUUUUGAGUUUUUUUUUUUAAUUUUUUGCUUUUUGGGGGUUUAUUUUGGCCACAUCCAUGGCAUGUUGAAGUUCCCAGGCCAGGGAUCAAAUCUGAGCUGCAACUGUGACCUGCGCCACAGCUGCAGUAAUGCCAAAUCCUUAACCCGCUUCACCUGGCUGAGGGUUGAAUCUGCACCUCUGCAGUGACCCAAGCCACUACAGUUGGAUCUUUAAACUCACUGUGCCACAACAGGAACUCUCAUUUUGAGUUUAUGCUUGUGUAUAAUGUUAGAGAACAUUCUGAUUUCACUCUUUUACAUGUAGAUGUCCAGUUUUCCCAGCACCACUUAUUGAAAAGACUGUCUUUUCUCUAUUGUAUAGUCUUGCUUCCUUUGUUGUGCAUUAAUUGGCUAUAGGUUCAUAGAUUUAUUUCUGGGCUUUCUAUCCUAAAUCAGUGAUCUACAUUUCUGUUCUUGUGUCAGUACCAUACUGUUUUUAAUUACUGUUGCUUUGUAGUACAGCCUGAUUUCAGAGAACCUGAUUUCUCCAUCAUUUUUCUUUCACAAGAUUUCUUUGGCUAUUCAAGGUCUUUUGUGUUUCCAUACAAAUUAAAAAACUUGUUCUAGUUCUGUGAAUAGUGCCACUGGUAAUUUAAUAGGGAUUGUAAUGAAUCUGUAGAUUGCCUUGGGUAGUAUAGUCAUUUUGAUAGCAUUGAUUCUUCCAAUCCAAGAGCAUGGUAUAUCUUUCCAUCUGUUUGUGUUAUCUUCGAUUCCUUAUCAGUGUCAUGUAGUUUUCAGAGUACAGGUCUUUUGCCUCCUCAGAUUUGUGUAUUCCUAGAUAUUUUAUUCUUUGUGAUGUGAUGGUAAAUGGGAUUAUUUCCUUAUUUUCUCUUUCUAAUCUUUCAUUGUUAGUAUAUAGAAAUGCAGUAUAUUUCUGUAUAUUAAUUUUGUAUCCUGCAGCUUUAUCAAAUUCAUUGAUGAGCUCUAGAAAUUUUCUGGUAGCUUCUUCAGGAAUUUUUAUGUAUAGAAAUGUCAUCUGCAAACAGUGACAGUUUUACUUCUUAUUUUCCAAUUUUGACCUUUUAAAUUUCUUUUUCUUCUCUAAUUUCUGUGGCCAGCACUUCCAAAAGCUAUGUUGAAUAAAAGUGGUGAGAGUUGACAUCCUUGUCUUGUUCCUGAUCUUAGAGGGAAUACUCUCUGUUUUUCACCAUUGAGUAUUAUGCUAGCUGUAUUUUUGUCAUAUAUGGGCUUUAUUAUGUUGAGGUAGAUUCCUUCCAUGCCCACUUUCUAGAAAGUUUAUAUGAUAAAUUGGAGUUGAAUUUUGUCAAAAGCUUAUUAGACUCCUAUUGAAAUUAUUCUUGAAUUUGUGCCACUCCCUUCUGGCCUGCAGAAUUUCUGCUGAAAAAUCAGCUGACAAUCUUAUGGAGAUUCCCUUGUAUUUUAUCUGUUGCUUUUCCCUUGCUGCUUUUAAUGUUCUCUCUUUAUCUUUAAUUUUUGCCAUUUUAAUUACACUGUGUUUUGGUGUGUUCCUCUUUUGGUUAAUUCUGAAUGGGACCCUCUGUGCUUCCUGGAUUUGUGUUACUACUUCCUUUCCCAGGUUAGGGAGGUUUUCAGCUAUUAUCUCUUCAAAAUAUUUCCUCAGACCAUUUUUCUCACUCUUCUCCUUCUGGGAUGCUUAUAAAGUGAAUAUUAGUGUGUUUGAUGUUGUUCCAGAGGUCUCUUAAACUGUCUUCUUUUAUUUUAAGUUUUCUGUUCAGCAGCAGUGAUUUCUACCACUUUGUCUUCCAGCUCAUUGAUUUGUUACUGUAUCACUUAGUCUACUAUUGAUUCCUUCUAUUGAUUUCAUUUCCGUUAUUGUAUUAUUCAUCUCUGUUUUUUUUCUGCCACGCCUAUGGCAUGUGGAAUUUCUCAGGCCAGGGACUGAAUCCAAGCCACAGCUAUGACAUAUGUGAAUGCUGGAUCCUUAACCUAUUAUUGCCAGGCUGGAUCAAACCUGAACUGCCAGAGACAACACUGGAUCCUUAGCCCACUGUGCCACAGCAGAAACUCCUGUUUGGUUGUACUUUAUAUUUUAUAACUGUUUCAAACUUCUAACUUCUCACUCUAUGUUCCAUUCUUCUCUCAAGUGCUUUGAUAAUCU